UGGUUUUCCCUUCAAUGCCUGAAUGUUUUCCAAUUGCUCCAGAACUUCUUUCAUGGAAGGUCGGUUUUCAGGAUCUAUUUCCAAACAUGUUGGUAUAAGGAUUGUUAGCUAUCCCUUUUAUGAUCAAAACACAGAACACAAGCUAUUUUAUAUAUCCUGAUGAUAAAGAUAUCACAAGUGAAGAAUGAAGACUUGACAAGAUCACAUGUGUCCUAGGUAACUGAUGUAUAUGCAUUUGAUGCUUUUCACUGAGAAUUCUACAUAUCCUGAUGGUAAGGAUAUCACAACUGAAGAAUGAAGACCUGCCAAGAUCUCAUGUGCAUCAGGUAGUUCAUGCAUAUGCAUCUCAUGCUUUUCACUGAGAAUGACAACUUUACUUGUCAUCCUAGAUCGGAUGAUACAUCCUGGUGUAUCUAUAUGUAUGCAUGUCUAAAUGCUUUUGCUAUUUGUGUAUCAUUAGUUUGAAUUCCCCGGUUUGAAUUCAAAUCCUCUUUAGCAAAACAUUUGUCCUUGCCUUGGUGCUUCAAGUCAGUCUAGGGUUGUGUAGUGUUUCCAACCUGUGACCACAUGACUAGAGCUUAAAGGCUCUAGCUAGGUUUGUGAUACACAAACUAAUAUAUUAGCUGACACUUUGUUUUUAUCUCAUGUACAUCAGGUAGUUCAUGCAUGUGUAUCACAUUCAUUCAGGAUGACAGCUCUGCUUGCCAUCCAGGUGGAUACCCCUGUUGUAUCUAUCCUAAUCUCUGAGUCUGACUUUGUGCAUAUUUAAAUGGUUUUGCUUCAGCUUUUCAAGUAUUUGAAUUUCAAAUCUCUUUUAGCAAAACAUUUUUCAUAUGCAUUGUGCUUGAGCUCCAAGUUAGUCUAGAGUUAUGUUGUUCUUCCAACCCAUGAGCACAUGACUAAAGCACUUUUAGGUCAGCUCUUUUUUGAGUCCAACUGUGUUUUGUGAUACACAAACCAAGUCAGCUGCUGAUCCAUGUGAUGUACCGCUUAAGCUAUCAGCUGGCCUAUGUGUCCUCAUAUAGGAAUAGGUUUUGUCGUGUCUCUUUUAUUCACAAAACCUUUUGUUUCUUCCUUAUUGGACCACUAUCAUAUAAGAGAGUUGUGUUUGUCUUUACUCUCUUGGAGCCUUUUGUUUGUCCCUUGGCCCUCUCAUUUUAUGAGUUUGGCCAAAGACUGAAGUCCAAAAGUUGCCUCCCAUUUUAGUAAACGUGCAUGCUCUCCUUUAGCUUGCACUUUGCCUAUAUAUAUGGAGCAAGUCUCUUCUUGCUCUUUGGUUGUCAAAAUGUAGUUUUUACAUUUUCAUUUGCUGAGUUUGUUCUUAGCUUGCAUUGUUCAUGCAUGAUCUAAAGCUUCCUUGUUGACUGUAAAUCUUAGAGCAAAGAACAAAAACUCUUUUGCAUAAACUCAUAAGCAUUAUGCAUAUCAUGAGAGUUGGUAGUGCAGCAACCCCAGAAGCAUUCAAGAAGAAUCAGUUGAUCGAGGAGAGCUGGGUUCUAAGAUAGUCAGUUAAAGGCGUUAGCUGAGGUCUGAUGAAUCAGUCUCAAUAGGAUAGCUAAGUUCGGAGUUGAGUCUUCUGAGAAGUAUUCAAUAAGAAUCAGUUAAGUGAUAGCUGAGUUCUGAGUUGAGACUUUUUAUACCUUCUUAUGUAAACACUUGAGAGACAAGAGAGAUAGGUCUAGACUAAUAGGUAGACUAGGCAGGAUAGCAAGUCGUUGUUAUAUCCCUAGAACUUUAAUCUUGUGAGGAGUGAGGUGAGUCACUCAGAGACAGGAGAGAUAGAUCUAGACUAGUAGGUAGACUAGGCAGGAUUGCAAAUCGUUGUUCUAUCCCUAGACUAUAAUCUUGUAAGAAGUGAGUUUUACAUAAUGGAAAGGUAUGUCCCUCAAGAGUUAGGGGCAUGCAGUUUUUCUUCCUGGUGUAAGGUUUCUAUGAAUAAAAAACGUACUGAUGUUAUUUCUUUUACUUUCCAGUACUUGUUCUUUUAUUUAUUACUACGUCUCCAUGUUAUCAAGAUAGCUUAAUGGUUGCUAUCCCUGUGAACGGAAUUGGACGAAAAAAUAAUAAAGGCCUAUUCAAACCCCUCCCCCCCCCCCCCUUCUCUCCCCUAGGACCUUCAAAACAUCUUACAGUAAGCUGUGCAGUCUGUAAUGCUUCCUGGGAGGAAUAUUGGCCCUUAACCUGCUCAUCCAUGAUGCUUUGCAACUUCAUUUCAUCACAGAGAAAUGGGUGUAGCCCAGUCAACAAGUUUGAUUUGCUCCUUACGGCGG
rnacentral:lncRNA from 1 species